AGCCUGGGGCAGCUCAGCCAUGUGGGGACCAGAGGCUUUGUCCAUCAUGGCCUGGACUCCUCUCCUCCUGGUGUUCCUCUCUCACUUCACAGGUUCCCUCUCCCAGCCUGUGCUGACUCAUGUCCUGACUCAGCCGCCCUCCCCCUCUGCCUCUCCUGGAGCAUCUGUCAGACUCACCUGCGCCCUGAGCAGUGACAUCAGUGUUGAUGGCUACUGGAUAAACUGGUAUCAGAAGAAGGCAACCUCUCCCCGCUAUCUCCUGAGCUACUACUCAGACUCUGUUAAGCACCAGGGCACCGGGGUCCCCAGCCGCUUCUCUGGAUCCAAGGACACCUCGGCCAAUGCAGGAGUUCUGCACAUCUCGGGGCUGCAGCCUGAGGACGAGGCCGACUAUUACUGCAGUAUCGGGCACAGCGGUGCUGCUCACAGUGACACAGGCAGAUGGGGAAGUGGGACUAAAACUUUAGGCCCUUCACGUGGCCCGUGACAUUUUGUUAACGGU